CGGGGAAUUUUGGACAAUGGGCGCAAGCCUGAUCCAGCCAUGCCGCGUGCGGGAAGAAGGCCUUCGGGUUGUAAACCGCUUUUUGUCAGGGAAGAAAUCUUCUGAGUUAAUACCUCGGGAGGAUGACGGUACCUGAAGAAUAAGCACCGGCUAACUACGUGCCAGCAGCCGCGGUAAUACGUAGGGUGCAAGCGUUAAUCGGAAUUACUGGGCGUAAAGCGUGCGCAGGCGGUUUUGUAAGACAGAGGUGAAAUCCCCGGGCUCAACCUGGGAACUGCCUUUGUGACUGCAAGGCUUGAGUGCGGCAGAGGGGGAUGGAAUUCCGCGUGUAGCAGUGAAAUGCGUAGAUAUGCGGAGGAACACCGAUGGCGAAGGCAAUCCCCUGGGCCUGCACUGACGCUCAUGCACGAAAGCGUGGGGAGCAAACAGGAUUAGAUACCCUGGUAGUCCACGCCCUAAACGAUGUCAACUGGUUGUUGGGAAGGUUCCUUCUCAGUAACGUAGCUAACGCGUGAAGUUGACCGCCUGGGGAGUACGGCCGCAAGGUUGAAA
rnacentral:rRNA from 1 species